rnacentral:hammerhead_ribozyme from 1 species
AUCCAGAUGAUGAAACCCAAAUAGGACGAAACGCACGUCCUGGAU